rnacentral:miRNA from 1 species
UUCACAAUCUCUGCUGAAAAA